UCUAUAGGGUAUUGUAGAACUCGAACUAUUGGUCCUUGUGCACCGGAUAGAACUCCAUGUCAACCUGAUGAAAGUACAAAUUGUUCUUCAGAAUUUCGUUACAAACAAAAGCACAACAUUGAUUUUGAUGUAAUUUGACCUGGACUGCGACAUCUUUAUAACUUAAAAACAUCUUACUUUCAGUUAUUAUUAAAGCCUUUAUUCAAAAUGUAAACGAAAGUAAAAAUUGUUAUUAGAAAUUUGGCAUAGACUGCUGGGUAAUCUUGCAGGGGAAUCAAGGGUCUCAUGUGUAUAAGCAGGAUGCAACAAAUAUUCCAAUGUUUAAAUAUACAAAAGUGAUAUACAGGUUUUAUGAUUGUCAUAUCCUUUCUAUUUUCUGAAUUACCUACUGUAUUCAGAAGAAUAAGGCAGAACGUGUACAUGGACUUAAAGUGAAUUUACAUUGAUUACUUCCAGGAAGUUAACACCGAAAAGAAAAAUUGGGCGACAUUUACAGAUUCAUGGAACUUAACUGAGUUUUUUUAAAUCGAAAAAAAAUAACGCCAAAAUGAAAAUUACAGGAAGUCUUCAUUACACUAACAACUUCAUUCAUGAUUUUUUUCAGGGUUGAGAAACAGGAAGAACAUGUUUAAAAGUUUUUAAUUAAAAGUGGAAGUGGCACGCUGGAGGUGGUAGAAUACACAUUUCGAUCGGAACGUCGGGUGUCGAUUGGUUGAGAAUAUUACUCUACUGGAAAUGGCUGCAAAAUCAACAAAUAUUUUUGAGUUUAACGAUAAUUAUUAUAAACAAUAAAAUAAGUAAUCAUGAUAAUAUGCACGACAUGUCCAUAAAUUACGUCACAUACUUUUUUUACCUUUUCUUUAAUUUUUAAUUGUGAAA